UGGAUCCCAGUGAGAAUGAUGUCAUCACAGGAGAGGGAAGGAGAGACAAAGAAAUCUUGUUGAGAAGACAUGAUUGUUUUUCAGAUGCCUCGCACCAUGUGUUAUGCAGGAGUUGUUAUUGUGAAACACUGAAUCUCACACAGCCACAAUGUCAUAAACAACACGGGCUGCUUGGCAACAGGAAAUACUUACAUCUCCAGCAAGAAAAGGGCCUGUUCGACUUCACUUUGCGUCUGCCGUGUCGUCCCCCUCGCUAAAUUCAAUGACAGCCACCGUUCGAAAUGACAGUCCUCGUCCAAUGAAGUCCUCUGAUCCUGCAGUGGGUAUUCCUCCUCAGAACAGCAGGCAGAGAUGUGCUUCCCUCUAAAGCCCAGACAAAGUGAGGACAGCUCCAUGCAGUCAACAACAGUCCUCGAGCUGGGCUUGGUGUUUUUGCUGAGGAGGAACGAGGCAGGUAGAGCAGGAGGGGGUCUCUCACUCCAUAGAGGGGACAGAAGAGGAGAUGUGAGGGGAAAUAGCAUCAAGAGAGAAAAAUCACAGCGUGGAUAAAGACGUCCACCCCCACACCAGCGGCCCUGGCUGCCAGUUUGCUGAGGGAGAGAACAGCUGCUGGGCUACCGGGCGAGAUGUGAGACGGUCAAGGGGAGUGCUGCUCACCAACCCCCCCCUGGGGGACGGAGGGAGGGAGAGGCUUCAAUGGGACCCGUGCCAUUUCCAUUCACCCUCCCCUCCUCCCCUCCCGCUCCAGUAACGACAGUGCUGCUGAAUACUGAGGAACAGCUGGAUUGACCGUGCAGAUGCACGAGCAUAAAUACGUCCGUUAAUACACUGCAUGCAUUGUUGGGUGUUUACAGCUGUUUCAGAGUCAGCGAUGGCUGCAGCCACAGGGUUGUGCUGGAUGGCGGUUUUGGUUUUGGCGUGCCCUCUUGUGAUUUACGAUGAAAACAGCGUUAUAUCGACAACUCCCUGGAGAU